CUCGACGACGAGAGACGCUCUUCUCUCCUCCCCUCUCCGCCAUUGUUCGUUCGUUCCUUCUCGACGGCAAGCCAUAUCUACCCGUCAAUCGGAAAUUUGCGAACUCUGUAUCAAUCGAAUUCACUUUCUAAAUCUGACUUUUCUUCUCGAUUCGUACUCUCUCCCUUAGAAUCCUCGGUCGUCGAUUUCGAUUUCUAGGGUUCCGCUGUUCAGAUCACAAGUUCUACUUCAAUAUUGAAGCGAUUUGAUCACGAGUUGCUGUUUGUUGGGUGUGUAUUUCAGUUUUUUUUUCUGACAUCUCGAGGUUUAGUCUCUGCGAUUGUGAUUUUGAACACGGCUAGUUAGCUGGAAGCAGAUUGAGUUCGUCAAAUUAGGAUUUGGGGUUUAUUUUACCCUUUCUCACUGACGUUAAGUUUGGAAUUGACUUUAUGGCGGCUGGGAGGAAUGUAAGAUAUUCUGACCGUGAACUGAGGGACCAGGAAUCGAAUUCUAGAUUUUCCAGGCGGGAUAGUGCUUACUCUAAUGAGGAUUAUGAUCAUGUUAGGAACGGUGCUCUUGAUAAUGAAAAGGGAUGGGCUAGUAAUCUAAGACACGGGGAUAGUGGUCAAGAUAGAGAUAUGAUUAGGUCAGGAGCUAGACAGCAAGAGAGAGGAAUGGUUAAUAGUGGGUGUCGGUUAUCGAAGAGCAAUCCAGGUAGCAGGGAAGUCUUGAUUGAUCGUGGUCCGAAAAGAUGUGGGCUUUCAGCUAGGUCUGUGGAUAGGGAACCAGGUGAGCUCUCUAGUGAGAGUGGGUCAGAUGAUUUGAACGAGUCUGAAUCAUUGGUGAAAAAUAAUGGAGUUGUGAAGCAGGUAGAGAAUACAGCUCAAAGCCCUGUAGAAAAGAAAAGAAAGUUUUCACCAAUAGUAUGGGACAAAGAUGACAAUGAAAGAAGUAAUUUGAGCAGAACUGAAAAACCUGUUGAGGUCACUCCUCCUCCUCCCCUACCACCACUAAUUAAGAGGUCAAGCCAGUCACCUAGGGUCAAUUGUGAUGGGAAUUCUCAUUUUUCACCUGCAAAGCGUAAUAUGCAUCAAGACCCCGUGCAACUUGGUGUAUCUGCAGUUCCUGUGCCUGCUUUAUCACCUUCGGUAGAGAUGUCUUCUUUGUGUGUGGUAGACCAAUCAUCAAAUGCUGGGCAUGGCAAACAAGGGGAUGCAAGACACCUGGAAGAGGAGGAAAACAUGCCAAUCAGGCAUAUAUCUUCCUCUAGGUGGGCAGCUGGCAACAGUUCCCCAACUGAUGAAGGUGAAAUAGUAGAAGAAGUGGGAGCAAAUAAAAGGAGGAAAAAGCCAUUUCCCGUGCAGGGGAGAUUGCGCACUAAGUCUCAAACACCUGAGGUUGGGGAGUUAGUGAGGGAAGGUUAUAGAUCAUCUGAUUCCGGUGAAACAGGGCACCAUUCUUUGCCGGGAAGUAGAGAUGAUUCUGAGGAGAAGGAUGCUGUUAAGGGUGACAAGAUGGAAAUAGAUGAGGAGGAACACAGAAGAGGAAACUCCAGUUACAGCCUUAGUGAAACAGAUUCCGAUGAAGAAUAUGUUCAGCAUGAAACACCCGAACCUGCCAGUACUCCACUAAGAAGUAUAAACAUGCUCCAGGGUUGUAGAAGUGUUGAUGAAUUUGAGAGAUUAAAUAAGAUAGAUGAAGGUACCUAUGGUGUUGUUUAUAGAGCAAAGGAUAAGAAGACAGGUGAAAUUGUGGCAUUGAAGAAGGUGAAGAUGGAAAAAGAAAGAGAAGGUUUUCCUUUGACUUCUCUUAGGGAGAUUAACAUACUUCUUUCGUUUCAUCAUCCAUCAAUAGUGGAUGUAAAAGAGGUGGUCGUGGGUAGUAGUCUUGAUAGCAUUUUUAUGGUGAUGGAAUAUAUGGAACAUGAUCUUAAGGCAUUGAUGGAGACAAUGAAGCAGCGCUUCAGUCAAAGUGAAGUUAAAUGCUUAAUGCUUCAACUUUUAGAGGGCGUCAAGUAUCUUCAUGACAACUGGGUGCUUCAUCGAGAUUUGAAAACAUCGAACCUGCUUUUAAACAAUCGAGGGGAGUUGAAGAUAUGUGACUUUGGUUUGGCUCGGCAAUAUGGCAGCCCGCUGAAGCCGUAUACUCAUCUGGUUGUUACGCUUUGGUACAGGGCACCUGAGCUUCUCUUGGGAGCAAAACAAUAUUCUACAGCCAUUGACAUGUGGUCACUGGGAUGUAUCAUGGCAGAACUAUUGUCGAAGGCGCCGUUGUUCAAUGGGAAAACGGAGUUUGAUCAACUUGACAAGAUUUUCAGAAUACUUGGUACUCCCAAUGAGUCCAUUUGGCCUGGGUUCUCCAAGCUGCCUGGAGUCAAGGUCAACUUUGUCAAGCAUCAGUAUAACCUACUACGUAAGAAAUUCCCAGCCACUUCAUUCACUGGUGCCCCAGUUCUGUCCGAUGCUGGGUUUGACCUGCUGAAUAAGCUCCUAACGUAUGAUCCGGAGAGGAGAAUAACUGUUGAUGAAGCUCUAAAGCAUGAUUGGUUCCGUGAAGUCCCUCUACCAAAAUCCAAAGAUUUCAUGCCUACUUUCCCCGCUCAACAUGCCCAAGACAGGCGUGGGAGGAGAAUGGUGAAGAGCCCUGAUCCUUUGGAAGAGCAACGUAGAAAGGAUUUAACCCAAACCGAACUUGGGUCUGGUGGUCUGUUUGGCUAAGUGUUACCCACCUGGUGAAGAUAGCAUUUGGAAUACAACCUUGAUACUCUCAGUUACCUUGAAAAUACCACAUUUUAGGCGAGGGCUGCUGCUUAAGCGGAGGUUGGAACAUUUGUAUCUCAGAAUAUCAUUUAUGCUUUCUUUACUCACUUUGAGGGUCCAUGGUGAUUUGUGAAGAUAAUUUUCCUCCUAUCGCCACCGAGAAUCCUUGCAGGUUUAAUGUGUUUACAAGCUAGGCUGGUCAGUUAGUAGUGCUACGGCUUUCUGACAGUGCUUGUUCUGUAAGAAACACUGGUGUUGAAGUGGAGUGAGACUCUUCUUGUCUUGAAGAAGAAUUGAUGCAAUUGCCGAUGAAAUCUCUGCGAGCCGGGAAUAUCUGUAUUCAAGCUAUAACUCAUGCCCAGAGACAUGUCAUCGGACCAGAAAUGGUGCUGCAAGCUCGCGUGGGUCAAGGUCUGGGGGACUCUAGGUCUUCAUAAAGUCCUAGAUUUGCACUGGGCAUGCAUCUUAUCAUUUGACAUACUACUGGAGUGUUUUGGUGAUGUUGGACAUGACUCUCUGGUCUUUUCAUUGAGGACCAAGGAAUCUGAUAUGCAUUGCCAAGUAAUUGCAGAACAAACUGUUCCGAUGUGGUCAAUCUCCAAUUGCUAAUUAAAAACUGGACCAAGGGCAUUCUCCAAUUGCUUUAAAAGAACUGGUCCAAAGUCUGGACUGUGCGUUGUGGUAAACUCGAAAUGCCCAAAAGUCACUCACUAAGAUGGUGUAACAGAGGUUUUAUUAAAUGUUUAGUGGCAAGACAGAUAGAACAAGAACUAUAAUUUUCAGUUUGUGAUACAAA